rnacentral:ncRNA from 1 species
AUCUUCAGGGCGGGGUGUAAGUCCCCACUGGCGGUAUAGUCCGCGACCUGUAGUCUUGAGUUUGCGUGAGUGCUGUUUUCCGGAAGGAUUGCCAGCGGUGCAUUUGAGACGACAGCUGAACCGGUGAGAUUCCGGUACCAACAGUUACAGUCUGGAUGGAAGAAGAG